UGGGGAAUAUUGGACAAUGGGCGAAAGCCUGAUCCAGCAAUGCCGCGUGAGUGAUGAAGGCCUUAGGGUUGUAAAGCUCUUUUACCCGGGAUGAUAAUGACAGUACCGGGAGAAUAAGCUCCGGCUAACUCCGUGCCAGCAGCCGCGGUAAUACGGAGGGAGCUAGCGUUGUUCGGAAUUACUGGGCGUAAAGCGCGCGUAGGCGGUCUUUUAAGUCAGAGGUGAAAGCCCGGGGCUCAACCCCGGAAUAGCCUUUGAAACUGGAAGACUUGAAUCUUGGAGAGGUCAGUGGAAUUCCGAGUGUAGAGGUGAAAUUCGUAGAUAUUCGGAAGAACACCAGUGGCGAAGGCGACUGACUGGACAAGUAUUGACGCUGAGGUGCGAAAGCGUGGGGAGCAAACAGGAUUAGAUACCCCCGUAGUCCCUGAGCGGGCUGGCAAGGCGCAU
rnacentral:rRNA from 1 species